UGAUUGACGUUACACGAGGGAAAACCCCACUCUACCAGCUCUACCUUGAUGCAAGAGAGGAGGCUCUCACUGAUGACCUACCAGAUCUUGACACAAGGGCUGCACUUUUAUUCCUGCCAUACGUCUUCAAGGAGAAACUGGAUCUCUUUGUCAUACUUGGAGAGGUUUAUCCUAAAACCCCCUAUCCAACUGUUCAGCUACUUUAUGAAGACUGGAAACCAGUGUUCUCCAGAAGCGCUCCAAACAUUGUGAAGUUGGAUGGCAGUGAAGUGUGCAGAAGCUCGUGUAUUUUUGAAGCAAUCAUCUCUUCUUUCUGCUUGUAUUUUGUCUUCAACCUUGCUUACCCAAAACAUCUGAAGAACACCCUGAUUUUUCUUCAAAAGUACAUUGUGAAAAUAGAUGAGGGUGAGGACCGGCCUCUACCAAUCACAGUCACCAGACAAAUAAAUCUUCUGUAUUGACCACCAUGCCUCAGCCAUAUCAGUGCUCCAAAUGUGGCAGAAGAACCUUUAGUUUGACAAAGCUUAUUCAGCACAUAGGUGAUGCCAAUUUUGAUAUAACCUGUGGACUCAGUGACUGCUGUUCUUCCUUCAAAAAAUAUGAAUCUUUCAGACGACAUGUGUAUAGGAAACACAGAGAACAGGUGUUGUGUUAAUAUUGACACAAUGUGGGUCUUUUGUGGAAAAAUUCUCAUUCCUCUGUUAUAUGACAACCAUUUUCAUUCAUACAGUGUUAGAGUUGAUAGUGAAUGGACGUUGCUAAAACCUGGACAGGAAAUUGAUGUUGCAGCUUAUGACACAUACUGUGUUGAUAACAGUUUGUAUGUAACAGUUAAGCAAUGUAUUUAAGAAGGUAAUAAAUGUGACAAGUAUUUUUGACUUUGUAUCUUCAAUUUUUCAAAUCUUGAGAGGAAAAAUAUAGGAAAUCUGUGUGUAGAUACUGAACCUUUAGAAAGACAUUUUUGUACUCCUUUUAAGGGUUCUUUUUUGUACUUUAUACUAAGGGUACAACUUUGCCCUUUAAAGUACAGGUUUGACGUGUAAAAGGUACAAAUUACAAGGGUACAAAUCAGUACCCACAGUUUAGGGUACAGAACGGUACCUUAGAGGGUACCACCCCAGU